UACGUAGGGGGCUAGCGUUGUCCGGAUUUAUUGGGCGUAAAGAGCGUGUAGGCGGCCAGGUAGGUCUGCUGUGAAAACUCGAGGCUCAACCUCGAGACGUCGGCGGAAACCAUCUGGCUAGAGUCCGGAAGAGGAGAGUGGAAUUCCUGGUGUAGCGGUGAAAUGCGCAGAUAUCAGGAAGAACACCCGUGGCGAAGGCGGCUCUCUGGGACGGUACUGACGCUGAGGAGCGAAAGCAUGGGGAGCAAACAGG
rnacentral:rRNA from 1 species